AAUGGAAGAUGAGCGUGUACUGAAGGUGGGAAUUGAGUGCAAAAUGCUUUUUGAAUGAGGGGAAAAAAUCUGAACCCCAAUGAUUGGCAAUGAUUGCCUCUUAUAUAGCCUGAUCCAAGAGGGCAAUUUGGAGAAUUGGAUCUGAAGUUAAAUCUGAUUCGUCCAGCUGGCAUCUAAGUGAAGGACAUGGUUGCUGAGUUGGUGCUGCUCACUCCAUCCACCGUGAACUACCUCAAUGCAUUGCAAAGCUUGUGAUUUCCAUAACUUCGAUGAGCUAGUUACGGGGCUAUGCUUUAGUGAUUUUCUAAUAAACCAACUGUGUAAUCAUUUCCUCAGGGCCUGCACUGGUUGCAUUGCUGACUUGGUAUUCGUGCUACUGGUUUAAGAACCAUGAUGGUGGUGGAAGGGUUAGGUCUGCAGCAGGUAUGAGGUCAAGUACAGGUCUUGAUCAAGACAAUAUACCACGCACGACUUAUCGAAGCAACCAAUCCUUCCUGUAACGGAUGACGACACCUCACUGCGGCUUAUACGCAUAUUGCAUAAGGUGUUGCAAUAUUUUGCAACAUUUCAUGACAGGAUGAAAGUGACUCUGCAGGGAUGUUUCUUGUAGCAUGGCAUUAAUGUGGAUUUGUGCAAUGAUGUUGCAGCAUUUAUGCCCAUCCUGCAGGUCUGUUUUUGGAAAUGGCUUGGCAUAAUUAUUGUCGCCUUGUACUGAGAUAGACGCACCGGGAGGACCGGUAACGCAUCCAUUUUCCAAUGUCCAUACAUCCUGCUGCGCCAAACAGGUCCAGAUGGCUUUCUUACUCGCUCCACAUCCUGAGGACCACUCUUGGAAUUAUUGACUUUCCGGCUGCGAGGAGGUAUGUUAAGGUUUUGGAGGUGAAAUGACUAGCCAAGGACACAUGAAGUGGGUUGGACAAAACACACAAACAAAUGGCCAAAUUGGAUUUUUGAAGCAUCAUGGACAAAUGGCAAACUUCAGGAUCAAGAUUGAAUUUUAGAUUAGAAAGAGGAUCGGGACCUAUGGAUUUUAGGAGUUUGGGGAUUGGGUUGACUUUGGUCAACUUUGACCGAAAAGUCAACUGUUGACCAAAGUCAACAUGUGGUCAAACUUCCAUAUUUUUUUUUGUAAUUUUCUCAAUGCUUGGACAUUUGUGAUGAAUAUGUAAUGGCAAUUGAAGUUACAUGAAUGAAAUGAACGGUUUACAUAUAGAAGUGAUCCUUGUAUGACCUUGGGUGAACUGAAUUUGAAAUGAA